AUGGGAUACAUCCCGACACGAUUAUCGUGAUAAGAUAAAGCGGGAGAAUUCCUGGAAGACCAUCGGCAACCUCCUAAAGCGCAGUGCAGAUGAAUGCAAACGUGCAUGGCAGGCCAUACGAGGCAGGUAUGGUCGGGAGGCCAGAAACUGUACGGGCCGAAGCGGGGCUGGCAGGGACGACAUCCGGCAGCCAAGCUGGACGCUCUGGAACUUGCUGAGCUUCCUCAAGCACCAGAUCCACCCCAGAGCCUCAAAAAAGCCACAAAUGGCCUUGGAACAGGCAAAUCUAGUGGUGGCACCCGAGGCAAGCGGGGGAUUGUCGCCAGUGACACCUACAGGCAAGU